GUGGAUUAGAUACCCUGGUAGUCCACGCUGUAAACGAUGAGAGCUAGUUGUCGGCACGCAUGCGUGUCGGUGACGCAGCUAACGCAUUAAGCUCUCCGCCUGGGGAGUACGGCCGCAAGGUUAAAACUCAAAGAAAUUGACGGGGGCCCGCACAAGCGGUGGAGCAUGUGGUUUAAUUCGAAGCAACGCGAAGAACCUUACCCACGUUUGACAUGUCUAGUAUGGUCGUCAGAGAUGACUUCCUUCAGUUCGGCUGGCUAGAACACAGGUGCUGCAUGGCCGUCGACAGCU
rnacentral:rRNA from 1 species